CCUACGGGAGGCAGCAGUGAGGAAUAUUGGUCAAUGGCCGGAAGGCUGAACCAGCCAUGCCGCGUGAAGGUCAGUGCCCUUUGGGCGUUAAACUUCUUUUGUGCGGGAGCAAUAAUGGUCACGUGUGGCCAGACGAGAGUACCGGUCGAAUAAGCAUCGGCUAACUCCGUGCCAGCAGCCGCGGUAAGACGGGGGAUGCCAGCGUUUACCGGAUUUUUUGGGUUUAAAGGGUGCGUAGGCUGUGAGGUAAGGCAGCGGUGAAAUGCCCCCGCUCAACGGGGUGAAGUGCCAUUGAUACUGCCUUGCUGGAAUGCGGAUGCCGUGGGAGGAAUGUGUGGUGUAGCGGUGAAAUGCAUAGAUAUCACACAGAACACCGAUUGCGAAGGCAUCUCACGGAUCCGCGAUUGACGCUGAUGCACGAAAGCGUGGGUAUCAAACAGGAUUAGAUACCCGAGUAGUC
rnacentral:rRNA from 1 species